UACGUAGGUGGCAAGCGUUGUCCGGAUUUACUGGGCGUAAAGAGCGCGUAGGCGGCUCGGUAAGUGUGAAGUGAAAUCUCUAGGGCUCAACCCAGAAACUGCUUUACAUACUGUCGAGCUGGAGUGAUGAAGAGGUUUGUGGAAUUCCUGGUGUAGCGGUGAAAUGCGUUGAUAUCAGGAGGAACACCCAUGGCGAAGGCAGCAAACUGGUCAUCAACUGACGCUGAGGCGCGAAAGCGUGGGUAGCAAACAGG
rnacentral:rRNA from 1 species